UACGUAGGGGGCUAGCGUUAAUCGGAAUUACUGGGCGUAAAGCGUGCGCAGGCGGUUUUGUAAGCCAGAUGUGAAAUCCCCGGGCUUAACCUGGGAAUGGCAUUUGGGACUGCAAGGCUCGAGUGCGGCAGAGGAGACUGGAAUUCCUGGUGUAGCAGUGAAAUGCGUAGAUAUCAGGAGGAACACCGAUGGCGAAGGCAGGUCUCUGGGCUGACACUGACGCUCAUGCACGAAAGCGUGGGGAGCAAACAGG
rnacentral:rRNA from 1 species